AAUCGGAGAGUUAGCUCUUUGAGGCCGGCUGCCCUUAAAUCCUCUCACUUCACACAUAAGGAAACUGAGGCCGUGACGGCCAAGGACUCGCCUAAGGUCGUUCCGUAUUCCACCUGCUCCUCUCUCCCGAAGCGGGGGCACUCUUCCCUGACCCCAGGGACGACUCUGAAGCCAGUUCUGGAGGAGGGCCCCCAAUUAGAAAAAUGCCAGGGAGGAAUAGCAACCCUGACCACUUAACACACUGUGAUUGGGGCAACAAAAAUCUUCACCUGAGACCCAACUCCGCUGUUCUGCUUCCUCGGUGGAAGCCACACGAACCCCACUGGUACAGCGGCAGCGAUAGACCCCAGGCGGCUGAAAGCUUAUUUGGAGCGUCCCGGAGCAUGUCGAUUGUGCUGUGCCAGUGCAGGGGGAGUACCCCUCAGUUCUGGCCCCAGGCUCCAUUCUUUGCUAACCGGUCCAAGAAGUGGGGGGGCAGUCAGUGCCAGUGGGUUUAGAACUCCUCAGCCGCGGCUUCAACAUCACACACAACCAGAAAGCAAACCUUCAUGAGGCUGAGAGGCAGGCCGCCCUGCCAAUACAUUCCAUCACAUGGCACCCUCGGAGCGUUCCUAUUUUAGGGACUGGUUGGAAGACAGCUAGAAACAUAGAAAGCAGGCAAAAUGUUUGCUGGCUUUACUCCUUUCCUUUGAGGGCAUCGUCAUGCAUCCUAGGGGGGAAAAAUCUGCACAGAUCCUGGAAAUCAAGAACUUCGUGAACCAGAGGAAGGGGGCUGUUUGCCAGUACUAGUCUACAGAGGCCUCUGAUCUUUUCACAUUUAAUGCCCCAGCAUCUAGAGCUGAGCAUGCAGAAGUCGCCACACACACAAAUGUCCAGGUAGGUACCACUGAUUUUGCUUAUGAUGAAGCUGGAGCAAAGGCGGAUUAGAACGGAACAGCCCAGUUCUUCUCCAUGGGAUGAGUGCCCCUUUGCUGGGAGGGCCAGAUCUGUGCUGGCUCCAACAUUGCUUCCUUUAAGGUGUCUGCCACUUGCCACCAGUAUGGUUGGGCCUGGCCCAUUCUGCACAACUAGAGAAAAUGGAAAAUUCAAAGGCAAUAUAAUAUAUAGGCGGCAGUGGAACAGGGACUCUCAACAGUAUACAGACAGUCCCUGACUUGUGAUGGUUUGACACAGGACUUUCCAAGUUUGCAAUGGUUGUAAAAGUGAUAAUCUAGCAUGCGCUCAAUUUAGGAUGGGAUUAUGGCUGGUGAAACCCGUCCUAAGUGGAGCUGCAUCUAUACAUGAUUGUGACCUGAGUUAAUGCUUU
rnacentral:lncRNA from 1 species